rnacentral:rRNA from 1 species
GAUGAACGCUGGCGGCGUGCCUAAUACAUGCAAGUCGAGCGAACAGACGAGGAGCUUGCUCCUCUGACGUUAGCGGCGGACGGGUGAGUAACACGUGGAUAACCUACCUAUAAGACUGGGAUAACUUCGGGAAACCGGAGCUAAUACCGGAUAAUAUAUUGAACCGCAUGGUUCAAUAGUGAAAGACGGUUUUGCUGUCACUUAUAGAUGGAUCCGCGCCGCAUUAGCUAGUUGGUAAGGUAACGGCUUAUCAAGGCAACGAUGCGUAGCCGACCUGAGAGGGUGGUCGGCCACACUGGAACUGGGACACGGUCCAGACUCCUACGGGAGGCAGCAGUAGGGAAUCUUCCGCAAUGGGCGAAAGCCUGACGGAGCAACGCCGCGUGAGUGAUGAAGGUCUUCGGAUCGUAAAACUCUGUUAUUAGGGAAGAACAAAUGUGUAAGUAACUAUGCACGUCUUGACGGUACCUAAUCAGAAAGCCACGGCUAACUACGUG